rnacentral:rRNA from 1 species
UGAAUACGAGACGCUAAGGCGUCGAAGUAGUGUAUGUCAUACUUCCAAGAAAAGCUUGCACUGUCAUAGAUAAAAAACGCCUGUACCAUAACCGACACAGGUGGGUAGGUAGAGUAUACUAAGGGGCGCGAGAUAACUCUCUCUAAGGAACUCGGCAAAAUAACUCCGUAACUUCGGGAGAAGGAGUGCCUUAUUCUUAAGGUUGCAAUAACAAGAUCCAAGCAACUGUUUAUCAAAAACACAGGUCUCCGCUAAGUCGUAAGACGAUGUAUGGGGGCUGACGCCUGCCCAGUGCCAGAAGGUUAAAGAAGCUGGUUAGCAUUUGCGAAGCUAGUAACUGAAGCCCUGGUGAACGGCGGCCGUAACAAUAACGGUCCUAAGGUAGCGAAAUUCCUUGUCGGGUAAGUUCCGACCCGCACGAAAGGCGUAAUGAUUUGGGUACUGUCUCGGAGAGGGGCUCGGUGAAAUAGACUUGUCUGUGAAGAUGCGGACUACCUGCACCAGGACAGAAAGACCCUAUGAAGCUUUACUGUAACUUGAAAUUGAAAUUGGACUUUAUUCGCGCAGUAUAGGUGGGAGGCGUUGAUUAUAAUCUUGCGGGAUUAUUGGAGCCAUUAGUGAGAUACCACUCUUGUAAUGUUAGAUUUCUAACUUUGAAUCAUUAUCUGGUCAAAGAACAGUUUCAGGCGGGCAGUUUGACUGGGGCGGUCGCCUCCUAAACGGUAACGGAGGCGUACAAAGGUUUCCUCUGAACGGUUAGAAAUCGUAUCUAGAGUGUAAAGGCAUAAGGAAGCUUGACUGUGAGACCUACAAGUCGAGCAGGGACGAAAGUCGGUCUUAGUGAUCUGACGGUACUGAGUGGAAAGGCCGUCACUCAACGGAUAAAAGUUACUCUAGGAUAACAGGCUGAUCUCCCCCAAGAGUUCACAUCGACGGGGAGGUUUGGCACCUCGAUGUCGGCUCAUCGCAUCCUGGGGCGGUAGUACGUCCCAAGGGUUGGGCUGUUCGCCCAUGAAAGCGGUACGCGAGCUGGGUUCAGAACGUCGUGAGACAGUUCGGUCCAUAUCCGGUGUAGGCGUUAGAAUAUUGAGAGGAGCCUUCUUUAGUACGAGAGGACCGAGAAGGACAUACCUCUGGUGUACCAGUUAUCGUGCCAACGGUAAACGCUGGGUAGCUAUGUAUGGAGUGGAUAACCGCUGAAAGCAUCUAAGUGGGAAGCCCACCUCAAGAUAAGUAUUCUC